UCACGAAUAAUGGUUUAGUAAAUGCAGUGAUAAACAGGUGAAGAGAGAAGUGCAUUCGGUAACCUAAUCCAUCAACAAAUACUCGAAACUGCUGCUGUGCAGGUUCCUUCCAGCAGAGACACACUUCAUGGGAUUAGCGCAAGAAGAGGGUGGUGGUAGGACGAAGCUUGAACGAGCUUUGCACAGCAAAAUGGAGCAGGAUGCGCAAAAGAAAUGUUCUGAAUAUUUGGAUAAGUAUUCUGAAUGUUCUGAAAAAAAAUUAUUAUUUGCGAGUCGGAGGUGCAGCAAACAGUUUAAAGAAUACAAUGAUUGCAUGCGCCAGUAUUGCAAUGACUCGGUCUUGGAAGAAAUGAAGCACAAGUACUCACUUUAGCAGGACUGUAAGUCGGUAAGGGGCCGAUGAGAGUAUAAGCUGUGCAGUUGGAAUAUUUCUAAGGUGUAUCGGUUCCCAGUCUGUAAGGUCUUGUAAAACUCGAUGGUGUACUCUGGCAUUGUGCCUCGGUGCUUAUUGGUGUUGUUUGUGUGUGUACAAAUAAGGCAAUCGAGAUCCAAUCUCGAUGCGUCUAAUAUUGAGUCUCACAUCCAUACCACUGAACUACAAGGUCAGUGGCAUUGUUGUUGUGUUGUAUUUUAUGACUAAACAUUGUACAAGCUUAACAAUUUUCACCUCUGUUAGCUUUUCAACUUUUCACUUA